rnacentral:lncRNA from 1 species
GGCUUGAUUAUAACCACCGAACAUAACCAAGCUAAACAAAUACUUCGUUUUUUUUUUUUUUUUUUUUUUGUGUCAGAUUUAUAUGGUAUAUAUGCUGUGAUUGCGACUGUUGUUUUAUAUUCGAAUAAUAUGAGUAAAUAAAGCGCUUUUUGUAAUCGGUCAAUUCAAUUUCAUUUAAGUGUUAAUAUGUAAGGAUUUUCGAAUGACAAGGCAAAUGUUGACAUACUCACGGGACUAGACUGUUAUAGUGGAAGCCCCCGCCAUGACAGCUCCCCUUCUGGUGUCAGCUGUAGCCCUUGUGCAUGCUGCAGGGUAGGGAUGUCCCUGCAUAUGCCCCAUGCAUGCUCAAGACCCGUGAACUUGGUGCCGAUACAAUGCCCAGUAAAACAGACACAUGCAGGUUUUGCAAAAGAUAAUUUCUUUUAAUUCCGCAAACAAAUAAAAUGCAAAAAAAUUUCCUUUAUAAAUAAUCAAAACGUAACGAAUUUCCUUGAUGAACACGAAAUAAAAUCCUUUGUUACGCAAGGUUCGAGCUGGUUGACAGUCCCUCGUCUUCGUCCUGGAAAUAGAAAUUGAAAACGUCAGGUAAGUAUAGCCAGGCUUGCAUCAUUGCAGUCGUCGUGCACAUCCAUUACUUACCGCUGGAGUGGUCGAGGCACUCACGCUGUGUCUAAUUUCGAUGCUUGUCAUAUCAUCGGGUGGCGUGGUCUGCAGCCCUACAGAUUUCAGCUGCUUUCCCUUUUGCUCGGUCCGGGGUAGACCUCUGCAGCAUCCCACAUAAACUAGUAGCUUUUGCCCGCUACGGGGCAUACCCCAGAAUCGUCUCUCUCUGUAGGUAUACUCCACAAUAUAUUGGGCCAGUGAUUUGUCGUCCCUCACCGUCUUAAUUGUGUCCUAGAAAAGGAAGAAUGCCAUUCAGUUAGGUCCCUCAGCCGAACAUCCCAGGGCAUGGGCCGGCUACAGGUGCUUGCACCGACAGCUUGUAGACAUACCUUCAAGUGCCGAUUCCUCAUCUCGAUGUUUUGCGUAUGGAUUUGUGGAUCGGCGGGCGACAUGAAUCUGAAAGACAGCAAAGAAACGUUAAAUGAAACUCGGUUGAGGGGCCAAGCAAAUGCUCGUCCCUCAAAUGCCUCAGUGCAUACCUACCUUCUGGGGCCUUGCACGCUGUGAUUGACUGUCUUGUGUGCGCGAACCCCAGCUGCUCGCACCCAACAUAUUGCGGAGCACAGUCGCUAAUUAUUGUUGUCCCCGG